rnacentral:lncRNA from 1 species
UGGGAGUUAACCAUUUAUUCAUGGGAACUUGAUACGCCUGCUUAUCACUGCAGGCCGGGCGUUGUGUGAUCUUACUAGAAUGUGCAAGCCCAUGGCUUCCCGUCUGGCUUCAGUUUCUGUGUUGGGGAGGAAGAGGUGGUGGGGGAAACUUAACAGCAGGUGUUACUUCGAGGGCUAGAAAGGUCCCAUUGUCUCCUCUGCAAUAAACUGCCUGGUUUUCACCUGCUGACAAAUCACAAAUUCGCUUACCAUUAAAAUUCUGGGUCAUUACUUCAUUAGUUUAACAAGUCUUUAUUAAAUGCCUACUGAGGGUCAAGCACCGGGCUAGGUAUUGGGGAUAGAGAGAUGAAUAAUAUUUGUUUAACGAGUAUUUAUUGAGUGUCUGUUCUGUGCUAGGUACUAUGUUAGACCCUGGGGAUACCACUCAUUCCGUCUCCUCAAGGGAAUUGCUUGCAGCUAAGUCAAGUAAACAGACACUUGCAUGGGAAGGAUUACCUCUUCACUUGGCCAAGGAGGAGAGAGAGGAGCCUGGAGCCCUGAUGUCUCUGCCAGGAGCCUGAGCUUUUAGAGCUAGUCUUGGGCAAGACCCAGAAGCAAGCAACCAACAUCAAGAGCCCAGUGCCCCUCCCAGCAUGGCCAACUGACUGGUAACCCUGGGCCUGUGCUAAUACAGUGGCCACCAGCAGCAUGUGGCUCUCGAGCACUUGCGCGGAGGAUCUUUGUUUCUGUUUUACAGCUCUGUCCGGGAGCUUGUCUUCACUGCACAGUUGGCAUUGGGCCUCCUCACCAGGGAUCGCACUGCAUUCUGGGUAUUGCCUCACACCAGACCUGGACAUGACCUCUAUCAUUGAAGAGAAAAGCAACCAUGAUAUCCUGGCAUCUACAAAAGACGUCCAUUCAUGCAAACAUUCCCCACCUCAUCUGAUACGUAUUAUGAAGUGCUAUGCAUUAGAUCCUGUGCUCGGCACAGACAUGCACGUUCUUAUAAACUGUCCGUGGAAUCUGAGUUCAAACCUCAGCCUCUUUCAGUCCUAUUGAUUUGAUCUUGUGUGUGUUAGCCUCUGUUCCUCAGAUCCAGCUCCUUCUUUCUAAUUCCCUAUCUCAGCCAUGACAUCACCAUCAUCUUCCUGUCCCCGUUCAGAACCCUAGAAAUGAUUUUAUUCUCCUCACUAACCCUCUCUGUAAUGUCCAAUCAACCCCCAGUGAUGUGUGAUUUAACUCCUACAUAUCUCUUUGUCAUUAGCCUCACUCUAAUCCGUUCCACAGGUAUUCUUUGAGGAGUCUAUGUCCCAGGCUCUCUGCUGGACAUGAGGUUACCUGUCCCCAACGAGUUCUCAGACUGGUCCGGUACACCCACAAACACACAAUUCCCCUACAGCGAAUGGGUGUGAUGACACUAUAACCCCACUUUUAACUGCACACUUAAUCAUUGCCAAACACUGUUCUAUGCACUUUAAAUGCAUUGAAUAAUUUAAUCACAAUAACCCUCAGAGGUAGGUAACAUUAUUUUAUUUAUUUAUUUAUUUAAUUAUUUAUUUAUUUAUUUAUUUAUUUAUGUUUUAUAUCAGAGAAAGAGAGAGAAUGCGCCAGCUGGGGAGGCGGUGUGGAGAGACUUUCAAGCAGACUCCAGCCUGAUGCAGGGGUCAAUCCCACGAUCCUGGGGAUCAUGACCUAAGCCCAAAUGAAGAGUCAGAUGCUCAACCAACUGAGCCACCCAGAUGGCCCUUAUUAUCUUUACUUCACAGAUAAGGAAACUGAGGCAACAGAGAGAAUAAGCAACUUGCCCAAGGUCACAUAGCUAGUUAGCAGUGGAGGCACCAUGCAGUGUCUCACAAGCUGACUUCAAAGCCAUUGCUGUUAACUGCCACUGAACUCUUCUUCUGUUUGAGGGAACGGGAGAGAGUUUUCAGGGUGCCUUAAGGAAAGCUUCUAGCUGGACUGAAGCGCCUUCUCUGAGCUGUUGUCUAUGCUGAAGCUUCCAUGUGAGCGGGGGCUCGCCAGAGCAAUUCUCCACGUUCCACAGCUACCACAGGCCCUCACCUUGACCAGCCUCUUCACUGGUCCCCUCCCUGUUAGUCCUUUCUCCCCACCUGUACCACAGUGAGCUUUCUAACCACAUUUGACCAUCUUACUACUCUUCUGCCUACGUUUCCAGGGGCACCUGGGUGGCUCAGUCGGUUAGGCAUUCGACUUCAACUCAGGUCAUAAUCUCACCAUUCCCGAGUUCGAGCCCCACCUCGGGCUCUGUGCUGACAGCUCAGAGCCUGGAGGCUGUUUCAGAUUCUGUGUCUCCCUCUCUAUCUCUCCCCCUCCCCUACUUGUACUCUGUCUCUGUCUCUCUCUCAAAAAUAAAUAAACAUGAACAAAAAUUAAAAUGUGUUUC